rnacentral:rRNA from 1 species
GGAGGUUGGCUUAGAAGCAGCCAUCCUUGAAAGAGUGCGUAAUAGCUCACUGGUCGAGUGGUUCUGCGCCGAUAAUGUAGCGGGGCUUAAGUACACCGCCGAAACCGCGGCAACACAUGUAAAGUGUGUUGGGUAGGGGAGCGUCGUGCAUGUGUUGAAGCUAUUUGGUGACAGGUGGUGGAGUGUGUGCGAGUGAGAAUGCAGGCAUGAGUAACGAUUGAUGUGUGAGAAACAUAUCCGCCGGAUGACUAAGGGUUCCUGGGUGAAGUUUGUCUUCCCAGGGUGAGUCGGGGCCUAAGGCGAGGCCGACAGGCGUAGUCGAUGGAUGACGGGUUGAUAUUCCCGUACCGGCGAAGCACCGCCCAUGCUGACGCGCGGGUGCUAACCCACGCCCAGCCGCCAUAUAAGCCGCGCCUACUCCUUUCGGGGGGUGGUGUGGUUGUGGUGGUGGGGUCUGGGGAUCCUCCGUGCAGGUAGGCAAGCGUGUUAACAGGGGUGACGCACAGUGGUAGCCCGGCGGACCUGAUGGCUUGGUCCGUUCAAGCGCGCAGCCCGUCCUCCAGGUAAAUCCGGGGGACUGUCUUUGAUGACGGGGGUGAGGCGUGAUGGUGACCUCACACUGGUGGGGGAUAACAGGGUGAUCCUGGGGUGCCGAGAAAAGCCUCGACGCGAUGGUGCCAGCCGCCCGUACCCUAAACCGACACAGGUGGUCGGGCAGAGUAUGCCUAGGCGCACGAGUGAAUCAUGGUUAAGGAACUCGGCAAAAUGCCCCCGUAACUUCGGGAGAAGGGGGGCCCGAUCCCUGAAACAGCUGGCCUGUUAGGGGGGAGGGUCGCAGAGGCCAGGGGGAAGCGACUGUUUACUAAAAACACAGGUCCGUGCGAAGCCGUAAGGCGAUGUAUACGGACUGACGCCUGCCCGGUGCUGGAAGGUUAAGAGGAACCAUCAACCCCUCUUGGGGGUGAAGUGGUGAAUUUAAGCCCCAGUAAACGGCGGUGGUAACUAUAACCAUCCUAAGGUAGCGAAAUUCCUUGUCGGGUAAGUUCCGACCUGCACGAAUGGCGUAACGACUUCCCCGCUGUCUCAACCAUGAGCUCGGCGAAAUUGCAGUACGAGUAAAGAUGCUCGUUUCGCGCAGAAGGACGGAAAGACCCCGGGACCUUUACUACAGCUUGGUAUUGGCGCCCGCUAUAGCUUGUGCAGGAUAGGUGGGAGACUGUGAAGCCGUUACGCCAGUGGCGGUGGAGUCGUCCUUGAAAUACCACUCUGGUUAUGGCGUGCGCCUGAACCUGGGCCCGUGAUCCGGGUUAGGGACAGUGCCUGGUGGGUAGUUUAACUGGGGCGGUUGCCUCCUAAAGUGUAACGGAGGCGCUCAAAGGUUCCCUCAGCCUGGUCGGCAACCAGGUGUUGAGUGCAAGUGCACAAGGGAGCUUGACUGUGAGACCGACGGGUCGAGCAGGUACGAAAGUAGGAACUAGUGAUCCGGCGAUCCCGUGUGGGUGGGUCGUCGCUCAACGGAUAAAAGGUACCCCGGGGAUAACAGGCUGAUCCUGCCCAAGAGUCCAUAUCGACGGCAUGGUUUGGCACCUCGAUGUCGGCUCGUCGCAUCCUGGGGCUGGAGUAGGUCCCAAGGGUUGGGCUGUUCGCCCAUUAAAGCGGCACGCGAGCUGGGUUUAGAACGUCGUGAGACAGUUCGGUCUCUAUCCGCCGCGCGCGUUGAAACUUGAAGAAGGCUGUCCCUAGUACGAGAGGACCGGGAUGGACGUACCUCUGGUAUGCCAGUUGUCACGCCAGUGGCAUGGCUGGUUAGCUACGUGCGGGAGGGAUAACCGCUGAAAGCAUCUAAGCGGGAAGCCUGUUUUGAGAUGAGGUUUCUGUUGAGGUUCCCUGUAGAUGAUGGGGUUGAUAGGCCAGGGCUGUGAGCAUGGUGACGUGUUGGAGGUGACUGGUACUAAUACACCGACACAAAAAACCA